rnacentral:rRNA from 1 species
GAUCCUGCUCAGGAUGAACGCUAGCGACAGGCUUAACACAUGCAAGUCGAGGGGCAGCACAGGUAGCAAUACCGGGUGGCGACCGGCGCACGGGUGAGUAACGCGUAUGCAACUUGCCUAUCAGAGGGGGAUAACCCGGCGAAAGUCGGACUAAUACCGCAUGAAGCAGGGGCCCCGCAUGGGGAUAUUUGCUAAAGAUUCAUCGCUGAUAGAUAGGCAUGCGUUCCAUUAGG